rnacentral:rRNA from 1 species
AUACUCCGAGAACUGAAAGGCUUUUUGAAGUCUUCGGAUGGAUAGAAGAACCCCUGAUGCCGUCGAGCCAAGAAAAGUUUCUAAGUUUAGCUAAUGUUGCCCGUACCGUAAACCGACACAGGUGGGUGGGAUGAGUAUUCUAAGGCGCGUGGAAGAACUCUCUUUAAGGAACUCUGCAAAAUAGCACCGUAUCUUCGGUAUAAGGUGUGGUUAGCCUUGUAUUAGGAUUUACUCCGAAAGCAAGGAAACUUACAACAAAGAGUCCCUCCCGACUGUUUACCAAAAACACAGCACUCUGCUAACUCGUAAGAGGAUGUAUAGGGUGUGACGCCUGCCCGGUGCUCGAAGGUUAAUUGAUGGGGUUAGCAUUAGCGAAGCUCUUGAUCGAAGCCCGAGUAAACGGCGGCCGUAACUAUAACGGUCCUAAGGUAGCGAAAUUCCUUGUCGGUUAAAUACCGACCUGCAUGAAUGGCGUAACGAGAUGGGAGCUGUCUCAAAGAGGGAUCCAGUGAAAUUGUAGUGGAGGUGAAAAUUCCUCCUACCCGCGGCAAGACGGAAAGACCCCGUGGACCUUUACUACAGCUUGACACUGCUACUUGGAUAAGAAUGUGCAGGAUAGGUGGGAGGCUUUGAGUAUAUGACGCCAGUUGUAUAUGAGCCAUUGUUGAGAUACCACUCUUUCUUAUUUGGGUAGCUAACCAGCUUGAGUUAUCCUCAAGUGGGACAAUGUCUGGUGGGUAGUUUGACUGGGGCGGUCGCCUCCCAAAUAAUAACGGAGGCUUACAAAGGUUGGCUCAGAACGGUUGGAAAUCGUUCGUAGAGUAUAAAGGUAUAAGCCAGCUUAACUGCAAGACAUACAAGUCAAGCAGAGACGAAAGUCGGUCUUAGUGAUCCGGUGGUUCUGUGUGGAAGGGCCAUCGCUCAAAGGAUAAAAGGUACCCCGGGGAUAACAGG